UCACAGCUACAACUGUACCAUCAACUGCAACACAACCAACAGAACUGAACACUACAACUUUAGACACAACACA